rnacentral:lncRNA from 1 species
AAUUGUUUAAUUUUAUUACUUUGCAUACAAUAUUAUAUUAAUAUAUCUAAGCAAGAGAAACGAAGAAGAAUGAAUAUGAUAAUCUCGUAACUUAUAAUGAAGCAAAUAUUUGAUGCACUUCAGUAGUUAAGAGCUAAGCUACAUAGUUGAUGCCUUUCAUUAGUAAAUAACAAAAUAGAUGUACGUGGUAAAAAGUUACUCAAUUAAUGCAGUUCUCUUUCCAUGUUCAGCAUUGUGUUCUCCAAAUUUACAUUAUUUCAAAUCAAAAUGUAGUACACAUUCAUCAUCUCAAUCAGCACCACAAUCUCAUUGUCUACAUUUUUUUUUUGCACGUGCAGUUAAUAACCAUCAUCAUCGCCUUCUUAUCUUCUGGUAUGUCUAUCUCUUUAUCUACAUUAGUGUCACUAUCGUUGCUGCGUUGCCUGCUUUCUUCCCCGCAACUAUGUCUUAACGCCUUGAUCUUACCGUGGCCAUUGUAGCCCAUUUGGUCAUCACUUUUUCUUAAUUUCUCUCGCAAAUAUCCUUCCAUUUCCUCUAUCUUUCGGCAGUGACGCGAGAAAAAUACCAUCCACUUUGAAACGAACAAAA